GAUGAACGCUGGCGGCGUGCCUAAUACAUGCAAGUCGAGCGAACGGACGAGAAGCUUGCUUCUCUGAUGUUAGCGGCGGACGGGUGAGUAACACGUGGAUAACCUACCUAUAAGACUGGGAUAACUUCGGGAAACCGUAGCUAAUACCGGAUAAUAUUUUGAACCGCAUGGUUCAAAAGUGAAAGACGGUCUUGCUGUCACUUAUAGAUGGAUCCGCGCUGCAUUAGCUAGUUGGUAAGGUAACGGCUUACCAAGGCAACGAUGCAUAGCCGACCUGAGAGGGUGAUCGGCCACACUGGAACUGAGACACGGUCCAGACUCCUACGGGAGGCAGCAGUAGGGAAUCUUCCGCAAUGGGCGAAAGCCUGACGGAGCAACGCCGCGUGAGUGAUGAAGGUCUUCGGCUCGUAAAACCCUGUUAUUAGGGAAGAACAUAUGUGUAAGUAACUGUGCACAUCUUGACGGUACCUAAUCAGAAAGCCACGGCUAACUACGUG
rnacentral:rRNA from 1 species